rnacentral:rRNA from 1 species
GUGUCAGCCGCCGCGGUAAUACGUAGGCAGCAAGCGUUGUUCGGAGUUACUGGGCGUAAAGGGUGUGUAGGCGGCCGUUCAAGUUUGGUGUGAAAUCUCCCGGCUCAACUGGGAGGGUGCGCCGAAUACUGAAUGGCUCGAGUGCGGGAGAGGAGAGUGGAAUUCCUGGUGUAGCGGUGAAAUGCGUAGAUAUCAGGAGGAACACCGGCGGUGUAGACGGCUCUCUGGACCGUAACUGACGCUGAGACACGAAAGCGUGGGUAGCAAACAGGAUUAGAUACCCUGGUAGUCCACGCCCUAAACGAUGCACAUUUGGUGUGGGUCAUUCAGUUGAUCCGUGCCGGAGCUAACGCGUUAAAUGUGCCGCCUGGGGAGUACAGUCGCAAGGCUGAA